rnacentral:tRNA from 1 species
GGCAGAAGCGCCUUGAGGUUCGCCUCUUGGAAGAGCUUCUUCCAUUCCAAAGAACAUUGGCCGCCGUCCUCAUGUCCCUUCAUCACUGGAUCCACAUUCGAGAGAAUGUGGUAGCCUGAGCUGGCUCUUGCCGCGUGGCGGCCCUUAUGGGGCUAGUCGUGGCGCAUGGGCCUGUAGCUCAGUUGGUUAGAGCGCACCCCUGAUAAGGGUGAGGUCGGUGGUUCGAAUCCACCCAGGCCCACCAUGCGCUGUGCAAGUAGAUGGGGCCUUAGCUCAGCUGGGAGAGCGGUUGCUUUGCAAGCAUCAGGUCAUCGGUUCGAUCCCGAUAGGCUCCACCACUGCGCAGUUCGAGAGACGGUUUAGCGAAGCUAAAUAGCACUCGAACAAGCACGGCCAGCGCUGCUAAGCGCGCCCAUAAGGCGCAGCUUUGCUGCGACUGACGGGCGCAAGCGGGCGCGACGCGCUCGACCAAUAUCCAGAGAUGAAGAGAAACGGUUCCGCAUUCGUGCGGAAAUUGGAGGCUACGGCCUCCCUUAUUUGACAUUGUGAAUGGGUUCUUAAAAUCGAUGCCGUGAUAUCGGCGUUGGUUCGACGAGAACGUUUUGGUUCGGGUUUACCCGGAUUGGAGCGGUUCGAGGCGGACACAACGCUUUAAAUAAUCAGGCUGAGCAUUUUAAUCAUCCGCACCAAGAUACUGUGACAUUGCUGCUCUGCCGAGUUUUGGUUCGAUCCGUCAGGAUCGAUCCCAGCAUUGUCAUUGGUGGUGCGGACUCUCAAGCGUGAGGUAAGGGCAAUUCGUGGAUACCUUGGCGCAUACAGGCGAUGAAGGACGUGGCACGCUGCGAUAAG